rnacentral:lncRNA from 1 species
CCCCAGUGGUCUCUGCUCUGACUGGAGGGAGAAAAGUGUGGGGAUGCAUUUUGGGGCUGAAGCUUAUACCCCAGUGCUUCCCUGAGAAGCCCCGAUGCUUGGGAAGGAAGGAAAGGGCAUCAUUCUCCAAGAUACAUUGUAUAUUUUCUGCAUUUCAGUAUCUGUUAGGACUCGAUCUGUCUCAUAUGCCAGGAAUCCCAACGAAACUGCCUUAACCCAAAGGGAGUCGGUGGGUACAAGUAGCGAAGCAGAGUGGGUCCUGGCUGCAGGUGGGCUUCCUGCGUGGGCUCACGUGACGUCACAGAGCUGGUGUCUGCUUGUCUAUUGCUGAUGCAGUUUCCUCGAGAUUGGCCCCUCUCAGACAGGCCCUCCGCCCAGUGCUGUGACAGCGCCAGCCUCACAUCUUCUCAGGCUAGCCCAGCAGGACGGAGGGACGGGCUCUUUCCGAGGAGUCCUGGCCCCGGCGGUGUCGUGUGCCCACAUGGACCAAUCACUGUGGUGACGCCAGUGAGAUGCUCUGAUUGGCUUAGACCCAGGCUGAGUCAAGUGAUCCCUGCCCGGCAUCUUCCCUGCUCCACCCACCAUUUCGAGACCACCUUCCAUGAACUCCAUCUCCAGGACUGCCCCAUCUGGGCAUCACAGUUCCAACGAAAAUUGUUUCAAGAUCAAGAUGCUUAUUGCAGAAAACUGUCUUCCUUUCAAGAAUGGCUUACAGUUCAGCCUCCAAAUGCACGAUUUCAGCUACACUGCCACAUCAUUCAGCAUUUAAAAAUAAACAUAGUUCACAUUAUUAUAAGUUUCCCAGUAUAA